UCAAACUGUGCUUGUGUUAAUUCCAUGUAAAGUUCAAUUUGUGUUACAGACAUAAUUUGAAUCUGCUAAUUUGAACUUCCUCCUCUAUUUUACAGUCAUGAACCAUAAAUGCAUCUGUGGAGGAAAGUUCUUUGUGCUUUUGAUGGCUUUGGUCAGGACUGUAGAGAUACAUGCAACAGAGCAUCGUCUGUACCAGUUUUAUGAAACACCUAUGAACUGGAGGGAUGCCCACGCUUUCUGCAAAGUGCACGAAUUUGACCUGGCUACCAUAGACAGCAUGGAGGACCACAGGCGGCUGUUGGAGAGCACUGGCCAUCCUGAUACAGGAAUCAUCUGGAUUGGCUUGGUGAAAUCAGACACCGAGCAGUGGGUGUGGUCUGAGGGCAUUGGGGCAGUUACUGUUUUCAAUUUCAGUGCAAACAAAGGAGCUGGUGACUGUGUAUGGAUGGGAACAAACGGGUAUUGGAACGCCGACACUUGCAGCAACAAGAGGCCUUUUAUGUGCUUUGAAUAUGACAGCAAUGGAAGAGAGCACUACACUGUAUAUUCAACACCUACAUCAUGGCGAGUUGCUCAAAGUUACUGUAGACAAUAUCACAAAGACCUGGUCAGUGUGAAAACUACUGAGCAGCAUAUACAGGUUAUAAAGAACGCAGGCAGCUACAGCGUCUGGAUCGGGUUGUUCAGAGACAGCUGGAAGUGGUCUGAUGGAAGCUCGGGCUCUUUCAGGAACUGGUUUAAAAAUGCUCCUGAUAAUGCUGGCGGCAAUCAGUACUGUUCUACAUCUGCGGAUUUCUACCAGAUGCAGUGGGAUGAUCAUCCUUGUGAUCAGAUACGUUCUUUUGCCUGCAACACCAAACGUAAAACCAAGAGAUUUGUGGUGAAACUGAAAAUAAGCUCUGACAGGAACCUGAAUCUUCCAUCAGUGAGUGACUCUCUCCUGCAGCAGUUUCAGUCACAGCUAGAAGAGCAGGGUGUGACAAAUUUUACAGUGAGCUGGCGUGCCAACAACAAUGACACAAUCUUCCAUCCCUAACAAGGUAAUUCUCAAGUAGCAGAUGGUCACAGAAGUCAGAUUCAUCAAGUGCUUUUGUGUACGUACAAGGACUUACUUUGGCGUACACUGUAUUUUUUUUCUUUUAAAUUACACAAAGUAGUUUGGUUGUUUACAU